CAAAAAAAAAGAACUUAUCUUUCAUUGCCUAUACAAGCUAUUGAUAGAGAAAUGGCAUCACUCAGGCUUCACCUAGUCUUACUCCUCGUACUUUCUUCUAUUUUCUUUGCUCAAUCUUUUGAAACCAGAGGAGAUGAUGGUAGCAGUGACUUGCCACGACAACAAGGAAUGUAACCUUCAAUGUGAAAACGGUGGCAUAUGUGUUCAAAACUAUGAUCCAUCAAAGGGUCCUUUAGGUUCUCAUUGCCUUUGCCUCCCUCCAAGAUAAGUUGAUUUCAGCUAUGAGAGAGAGAGAUAGAGAGAGAGAUUGAUUGUUCUUAAUUACAUGUUUUUUCUUAUUUCUUUGUUAAACUAUUACUGUCAUGCAUGGAAUAAAAUAAGAAAGGGUUCGUGUUGAUCUAAA